GAUGAAGAACGCAGCGAAAUGCGAUAAGUAAUGUGAAUUGCAGAAUUCAGUGAAUCAUCGAAUCUUUGAACGCACAUUGCGCCCGCCAGUAUUCUGGCGGGCAUGCCUGUUCGAGCGUCAUUACAACCCUCAGGCCCCCGGGCCUGGCGUUGGGGAUCGGCGGAAGCCCCCUGUGGGCACACGCCGUCCCUCAAAUACAGUGGCGGUCCCGCCGCAGCUUCCAUUGCGUAGUAGCUAACACCUCGCAACUGGAGAGCGGCGCGGCCAUGCCGUAAAACACCCAACUUCUGAAUGUUGACCUCGAAUCAGGUAGGAAUACCCGCUGAACUUAAGCAUAUCAAAAGCGGAGGA
rnacentral:misc_RNA from 1 species